rnacentral:rRNA from 1 species
GGAGAAGAGGGCACUCUGCGAUUUGCUCUUAGCGCUCCUGCCACUCGGGAGUAGUAAGCGGGGAGCGGGAGAAAACACGUGGGUGACCUGCCCUCCACUUCGGGAUAAGCCUGGGAAACUGGGUCUAAUACCGGAUAGGACCAUUCCGCGCAUGUGGGGUGGUGGAAAGUUUUUUCGGUGGGGGAUGGGCCCGCGGUCUAUCAGCUUGUUGGUGGGGUGAUGGCCUACCAAGGCGACGACGGAUAGCCGGCCUGAGAGGGUGAUCGGCCACACUGGGACUGAGACACGGCCCAGACUCCUACGGGAGGCAGCAGUGGGGAAUCUUGCGCAAUGGGCGGAAGCCUGACGCAGCAACGCCGCGUGGGGGAUGACGGCCUUCGGGUUGUAAACCUCUUUCGCGAUCGACGAAGGUCCACUUUUUGUGGGUUGACGGUAGGUCGAGAAGAAGCACCGGCCAACUACGUGCCAGCAGCCGCGGUAAUACGUAGGGUGCGAGCGUUGUCCGGAAUUAUUGGGCGUAAAGAGCUCGUAGGCGGUGUGUCGCGUCGGCCGUGAAAACCUGGGGCUCAACUCUGGGCGUGCGGUCGAUACGGGCAUCACUUGAGUUCGGCAGGGGAGACUGGAAUUCCUGGUGUAGCGGUGAAAUGCGC